GACGAACGCUGGCGGCGUGCUUAACACAUGCAAGUCGAACGGAAAGGCCCUGCUUUUGUGGGGUGCUCGAGUGGCGAACGGGUGAGUAACACGUGAGUAACCUGCCCUUGACUUUGGGAUAGCUUCAGGAAACUGGGGCUAAUACCGGAUAGGAGCUCCUGCUGCAUGGUGGGGGUUGGAAAGUUUCGGCGGUUGGGGAUGGACUCGCGGCUUAUCAGCUUGUUGGUGGGGUAGUGGCUUACCAAGGCUUUGACGGGUAGCCGGCCUGAGAGGGUGACCGGCCACAUUGGGACUGAGAUACGGCCCAGACUCCUACGGGAGGCAGCAGUGGGGAAUAUUGCACAAUGGGCGGAAGCCUGAUGCAGCAACGCCGCGUGCGGGAUGACGGCCUUCGGGUUGUAAACCGCUUUCGCCUGUGACGAAGCGUGAGUGACGGUAAUGGGUAAAGAAGCACCGGCUAACUACGUGCCAGCAGCCGCGGUGAUACGUAGGGUGCGAGCGUUGUCCGGAUUUAUUGGGCGUAAAGGGCUCGUAGGUGGUUGAUCGCGUCGGAAGUGUAAUCUUGGGGCUUAACCCUGAGCGUGCUUUCGAUACGGGUUGACUUGAGGAAGGUAGGGGAGAAUGGAAUUCCUGGUGGAGCGGUGGAAUGCGCAGAUAUCAGGAGGAACACCAGUGGCGAAGGCGGUUCUCUGGGCCUUUCCUGACGCUGAGGAGCGAAAGCGUGGGGAGCGAACAGGCUUAGAUACCCUGGUAGUCCACGCUGUAAACGGUGGGUACUAGGUGUGGGGUCCAUUCCACGGGUUCCGUGCCGUAGCUAACGCUUUAAGUACCCCGCCUGGGGAGUACGGCCGCAAGGCUAAAACUCAAAGGAAUUGACGGGGCCCCGCACAAGCGGCGGAGCAUGCGGAUUAAUUCGAUGCAACGCGUAGAACCUUACCUGGGUUUGACAUGGAUCGGGAGCGCUCAGAGAUGGGUGUGCCUCUUUUGGGGUCGGUUCACAGGUGGUGCAUGGCUGUCGUCAGCUCGCGUCGUGAGAUGUUGGGUUAAGUCCCGCAACGAGCGCAACCCUUGUUCACUGUUGCCAGCACGUUAUGGUGGGGACUCAGUGGAGACCGCCGGGGUCAACUCGGAGGAAGGUGGGGAUGACGUCAAGUCAUCAUGCCCCUUAUGUCCAGGGCUUCACGCAUGCUACAAUGGCUGGUAUAGAGAGUGGCGAGCCUGUGAGGGUGAGCGAAUCUCGGAAAGCCGGUCUCAGUUCGGAUUGGGGUCUGCAACUCGACCUCAUGAAGUCGGAGUCGCUAGUAAUCGCAGAUCAGCAACGCUGCGGUGAAUACGUUCCCGGG
rnacentral:rRNA from 1 species